rnacentral:rRNA from 1 species
GACGUAGGGCGCAAGCGUUGUCCGGAUUUAUUGGGCGUAAAGAGCUCGUAGGCGGCUCGUUGCGUCGGCUGUGAAAACCCGCAGCUCAACUGUUGGCUUGCGGUUGAUACGGGUUGGCUGGAGUUCGGUAGGGGAGACUGGAAUUCCUGGUGUAGCGGUGAAAUGCGCAGAUAUCAGGAGGAACACCGGUGGCGAAGGCGGGUCUCUGGGCCGAUGACUGACGUGAGGAGCGAAAGCGUGGGGAGCGAACAGG